UGGCUCAGUUGGUAGAGCAUGGUUUUGGCAAUGCCAGGGUUGUGGGUUCAAUUCCCAC
rnacentral:tRNA from 1 species